CUCACUUGCGAUAAGCGUUCUCUGGAUAUGUUGAAGGAAGAUGGAAAUGACCUUGUGGAAAAAAUGACAGAGGCGGAGUUCGCGAAAAGAUUACUGAGAGCUAGGAUGAAGUAAUUUGAAAUCAGAAGUGAAGAAAGACGUUUAAUCGAAACAAAAGAAGAAGUGGAAAAACAUUGUCUUGAAAAUUAAUAAAUCUUAACUGAUUGCAUUUUA